rnacentral:rRNA from 1 species
AACGAACGCUGGCGGCAUGCCUAACACAUGCAAGUCGAACGAGACCUCCGGGUCUAGUGGCGCACGGGUGCGUAACGCGUGGGAACCUGCCCUUAGGUUCGGAAUAACUCUCCGACAGGGGUGCUAACACCGGAUAAUGUCUUCGGCCCAAAGAUUUAUCGCCUUUGGAUGUGCCCGCGUUGGAUUCGCUCGUUGGUAGGGUAAAAGCCUACCACGGCGACGAUCCAUAGCUGGUCUGAGAGGAUGAUCAGCGACACUGGGACUGAGACACGGCCCAGACUCCUACGGGAGGCAGCAGUGGGGAAUAGUGGACAAUGGGCGAAAGCAUGAACCAGCAAGGCCGCGUGAGUGAUGAAGGCCUUAGGGUAGUAAAGCGCUUUUACCCGGGAUGAUAAUGACAGUACCGGGAGAAUAAGCGCCGGCUAACUCCGUG